rnacentral:rRNA from 1 species
UACGACUACAUAUCAGGCAUAUCAAUAAGCGGAGGAAAAGAAACUAACUAGGAUUCCCUCAGUAACGGCGAGUGAAGCGGGAAGAGCUCAAAUUUGAAAUCUUCAAGGUUCUACCUUGACGAAUUGUAGUUUAAAGAAGUGUUUUCUGUUGAAGUUUUGGUAAAAGUUCUUUGGAAUAGGACAUCAUAGAGGGUGAGAAUCCCGUAUUUGACCAUUAUUUCAGCUGUGUGAUACACUUUCAAAGAGUCGGAUUGUUUGGGAAUGCAGUCCAAAAUGGGUGGUAAAUUUCAUCUAAAGCUAAAUAUUGGCGAGAGACCGAUAGCGAACAAGUACCGUGAGGGAAAGAUGAAAAGAACUUUGAAAAGAGAGUUAAACAGUACGUGAAAUUGUCAAAAGGGAAGCGUUUGACACCAGUGUUGUUUUCUCGAAAAUCAAUUAAAAAGAGUUGGAUUUUGUGUUGUAUUGACCUUAACAGCUUGCUUCACUCUUUUCCAGCUUUUUUUAAUGCACUUUUCGUCUAACAAGUCAACAUCAGUUUCUUUUGUUGUAAAAGGGUCAUUGGAAGGUGGCUUUCUCUUCGGAGAAAGUGUUUAUAGCCUUUGAUCUCUGCAAUCGGAGAGACUGAGGUCUGCAGCGUAGAUCCUUCGGGGUUAGAUACAUUUGUGCUAAGCUACAGCUUUUCAUAGACAACUUGUUGACUAUGUUUAGUCUUGUGACUUACCCGCUUAUGCUAUUUUACCUACGCUUAGGAUGUUGAGCGCAUGUCUCUCUCU